AUACGGAGGGUGCAAGCGUUAUCCGGAUUCAUUGGGUUUAAAGGGUGCGCAGGCGGAAUGAUAAGUCAGUUGUGAAAUCCUACAGCUUAACUGUAGAACUGCCAUUGAUACUGUCAUUCUUGAGUACACUUGAAGUGGGCGGAAUGUAUCAUGUAGCGGUGAAAUGCAUAGAUAUGAUACAGAACUCCGAUAGCGAAGGCAGCUCACUAAAUUGUAACUGACGCUCAGGCACGAAAGCGUGGGGAGCAAACAGGAUUAGAAACCCCAGUAGUCC
rnacentral:rRNA from 1 species